AAGGGAUGAUCUUUUAGAUGACGAGUCUGAAUACGUCGGCGUGAGGUUUCCUCUCGUCGAUCUUCCUUGAUGAUACAUCUUUUAAAUACCAUUCAUGCAUAUCUGACU
rnacentral:ncRNA from 20 species